rnacentral:lncRNA from 1 species
CAGGGUCUUGCCAUGCUGCCCAGGCUGGUCUUGAACUCCUAGCCUCAGGUUAUCCUCCUGCCUUGACCUCCCAAAGUGCUGAGAUUAUAGGUGUGAGCCAUGGGCCUAGCCUAAAGUUUUCUAUCACAGUGAAAAAGUAAAUGUCUAAUUACAUAAAUUCCCUAGUUAGGUUAUGAAAUAAUUCACUCAACCAUUCUCCACUUUUGGAUAGGUAGGAUGAGUUCAAUUUUUUUCUGUUACAAACAAAAUUGCAGUGAAUGGUUUUGUAUGUAAAUACUCGUCCAAAUUUCCCCUGAUCUCUUUAAGACAGAUUCCAAAAAGAAUCAUUACUGGAUUAAAGGAUAACAACUGGGUCAAGGUUCCCAAUCUAUUUUUCAGAAGGCUGAAACAGUGUUAUAUUGCAGAGUAC